rnacentral:rRNA from 1 species
GACGAACGCUGGCGGCGUGCCUAAUACAUGCAAGUAGAACGCUGAAACUUGGUGCUUGCACCGAGCGGAUGAGUUGCGAACGGGUGAGUAACGCGUAGGUAACCUGCCUGGUAGCGGGGGAUAACUAUUGGAAACGAUAGCUAAUACCCCAUAAGAGUGGAGUUUGCAGGCAAUUUGCUUAAAAGGUGCAUUUGCCCCACUACCAGAUGGACCUGCGUUGUAUUAGCUAGUUGGUGGGGUAACGGCUCACCAAGGCGACGAUACAUAGCCGACCUGAGAGGGUGAUCGGCCACACUGGGACUGAGACACGGCCCAGACUCCUACGGGAGGCAGCAGUAGGGAAUCUUCGGCAAUGGACGGAAGUCUGACCGAGCAACGCCGCGUGAGUGAAGAAGGUUUUCGGAUCGUAAAGCUCUGUUGUAAGAGAAGAACGAGUGUGAGAGUGGAAAGUUCACACUGUGACGGUAUCUUACCAGAAAGGGACGGCUAACUACGUG